rnacentral:lncRNA from 1 species
GGCUCGUGCUUGAAGAAAGAUGUUCUUUUCUGCAACGGGAAAUCCCAGCUUCAAAUCUGAGACUUUGGCUACGUUUGACAAGUAGAGAUUUUGAGGAGGCGGCAUUCAGUUCGGUGUCAGUGAAGACAACUGUCUACACUUUUCUAGAGUUCACUCGCCGUGGGUGGUAGCUCAGCUUUACUACCUACUAUCCCUGAAAGGUCCGAGAAGCGGGGUGCAGAUCCGGACCACAGAAAGCAUGGUCGGAAAGUAACUUUUAGUAACGUCAAUUUGAGGAAGACAGUGGAUCCACCUGCUUCGUCCAGCUGCUUAGAAAUGAGAGUAUCAUCAGCUGAGACAUAUGUGCAAAACCCUACAAAGAAAAAGAGAGGUGAAAGAUACAGCCGAAGCGGCCGGCGCCUCAUCCCUCCUUUGCAGUACUGGUGUGGAGAACGGCAAGUUUGGGAUCGGGCAAUGAUUGUUAGAGUAGAAGAAGGUGGAACAAACUAUUUAGCUGAAAGAGUGGCUUCUGAAAGCAAGGAGACUAGCUCAAAAACCCGUUAUCACACUCUUAUAAAACGGAAAAAAACAAGAGGAGCAAAAGAACAAACUGGGUGCCAUAAUCCAGGUUCACCAGGAGUAAGUGGUGUUAACGUGCCUUCCCCGAUUUACACUGAUUUGCCUAGCACUGAAGAUACUAUCUCUCUACCCACCUGUCUUCCUAGUAAACAGUGUGUCCAACAGGAGAGUCAAGAUAAAAAGACAUACAAAAAAGUAGUUUUUGGUGAUGUCAUGUCCCAGAAUACAGUGAAAGAGGACUUUGACUCAUCUACUAGCUCACAAGAGCCUGUACGUUCAGAAGAAAUCAAUGGAGCAACUUACUCAGCUGGAGACAAGAAGUUAUUUUCUUCUGGUAAUCAGGAUCUGUCAGAAUUAGAGAGCAAAAAAUAUAUGGAGAAAAACCAACAAGAAAGCAAUAGUCAGAUGAGGAGGAUCUUAGAAGUACUGGGUAGUAUAGUGGAGGGACAAAUUAAAAUGCAGGAUACCUUGAAUAAGGUUCAGUUGUGCUUACAGCAAAACAAGAAGGUAGCCACAAGCCUCCUCGGUAUGCCAGAAAAGAGCUGAUGUGCUUCAGCUAGAGAUAAAGGAGCUUGAAUUAAGGUCUGUCAAGGCAUGAUUCUAUACCUAGAGCAAAAAAUAUAUGUAAAAAUUGUGCCUGUAUCCCCAAGAAGUUAUCUAAAGCGAAGCAAAAGAGUAAGUGACUGAAGAAGUAAGAGGGCAUGCUGUUGAUUCAUCUGUUUUCUAUUUCAUCUGGUUGUAGAAAAGCAUUUUGUGUUCCUUGUGCUAAGUUCUGAGAUCCUUUUUCUAAACUGGCCCAUCAAAGGGCGCAGCACUAUUUGUUAGAGUGGUUUACAACUAGGAUUAGUUGUGUGUUUUCUUGAACUCUGAAAAAAGAUAGAGUGGUACUUCUGUGUUCUUAUUUUCUGCCUGGAGUUGCAUUUUGGCUGGAGAAAUUAAAGCAGAAAACCUCAGCACAUAGUGGGCAUGUGUUUGCACAUGGCCACACCAAGAAAAUGCAGAGUAAAUGAAGGUUUAGAAAAAACUGACCUAAUGAGGCCAAGGAAGAGAAAGGGUUUUGCAGGUAGAACAAAGUCUUUCUCUGAAUAUGUCUCAAUACUAGUGCUUCAGAAUAGCAUAUAGAGAUAGGUAGUGACUUUUGACAAUAUGAAGCACCUCCACAGCUCCUGAUCAGCCGUGAGAACCAUGUAUGCAUAAGCAGUUGAGGACAGUUCGUUGGCUUGUCACUUUUGGAUGUUUUCUAAACACUACAGAGACCCUUCUCAUCUCAGGUUGCUGCCCUUGAAGAAGUUUGUCUUUACUUUAGAGUGUCUUUAAUGUGUACUACUUUGCAGCAGUAUUGCUUCAGCAUAAAAGGACUUGGCCUUGUAGGCUUUGCAUCACUUUCAGCACUUCACAGUUGGCUCACUGCCUUCAUUGCUAGGCGCAGUGUGUGUUACUUCAGAGAGCCGGGCCUGCAGAGUACAGUACGGCUAUUUCUGAGCACAACGUAACACUGGUAAAACAUACUGACUGCAGUAUGUAGGAGCAUAUUGACUGCAGAAUGUACUAGCUGUCAGCAUAGCCUGCCAUAGCUCCCGAGUAAUUUAGUUUUUCUCUUGGAGCUCCAGAGAAGUCCUGCCCUUCCCUUUUGUUUUCCAGUGCAUCCAUUCAAGGCAGUUGCGCACAGCAGUUCAUCCAUCAUUGCCAUUCUGUUGUGACUUUCAGAUGUUGGUCCAGCUGUUGCUUUGGAAAGAGUGGCAUUAACAAAUGCAUUGUUACCGCUUGGAAUAGUGCAAGCGUAGUUUGCUCUGUGGAUGAUUUCAGUUGGGCUGGUCCAGUGAUUGAGAUGUUUGAGAUUUCAUUGUUGGAAGGAAUAUGGAAGGCUUUUUACCCUUGUACGUUGUAUUCUGUACUACCAAAUCAAGUUUAACGUUUUGGCAAAAGGACUGUAUCUUAGUUUGGUUACAUGUCUUAUUGAGGGAGUGGUUAUGCCUUUAUUCGGUUAUCAUUCCUCUAGAGUUGGGAGACCCUCUGUUCUUUUUUGCAUUGGCAGUAUGGUGUUUCUUUCAAACAUUUAAAAAUGUAUGUUUUGUGACUUAAAAACUGUUGUCAUAGAUCACUCAUGCAUUGUAUAAUAAACCAGUUGUUCAAAACCUGAUUGAGUUGCUC